AGGACGAACGCUGGCGGCGUGCCUAACACAUGCAAGUCGAACGGAGAUGAUGGGAUAGCUUGCUAUUAAUCAUCUUAGUGGCGGACGGGUGAGUAACACGUGGGCAACCUGCCCCAAAGAGGGGGAUAACACCGAGAAAUCGGUGCUAAUACCGCAUAACAUUAGAGUUUCGCAUGGAGCUUUAAUCAAAGGAGAAAUCCGCUUUGGGAUGGGCCCGCGUCUGAUUAGCUAGUUGGUGAGGUAACGGCUCACCAAGGCGACGAUCAGUAGCCGAUCUGAGAGGAUGACCGGCCACACUGGAACUGAGACACGGUCCAGACUCCUACGGGAGGCAGCAGUGGGGAAUAUUGCACAAUGGGGGAAACCCUGAUGCAGCAACGCCGCGUGGAGGAAGAAGGUCUUCGGAUUGUAAACUCCUGUCUUCUGGGACGAAUAAUGACGGUACCAGAGGAGGAAGCCACGGCUAACUACGUG
rnacentral:rRNA from 1 species